GAGCCUGCCUUUGCACAUGGCUCCUCCUCCUUCUGUGUGUGCCUCCAUUUUAAACCUGAGGUAACCGUUACUGAGCUCAUCCUCUUCCGGUGAUAAUAGUGACAUUUACAAAGUUUAACUUUGGUUAAGUUUCACAAUACUGAAACAAAACUUUUUUUUAAUAACCUAAGCGAGCUCUUAAAGUGUGGUGCUACUGUUAAUUAUGGCAUCUUUCCGUAAAUUACUCUACGUACCGCGCUUCGACACUCAGUCGCCUCAAACUGACAAGCAAUCGGGAUAUAACGGAGAAAACAACAAACACCGUCAACUGAACGGGUUAACUCAGGCGACUCCCUUACUUUUCCUCGACGUUACAAGUCCCGAAAUAACACCAUGUUUGUCAAAAAAAGUGAAAACAAACCAUCUUUUGAGGUUGUACGCCAAUAUGAGAUCAACGGUUAAUCUGAGGGCAUCUAAAGGCGGGAAAUCACGGCGCGCCAAACGCGUCACUUACGGAAGUGUAGGAGAACAGCCACACAGGGCCUCAUCUGAUACUUUUGGAUUCCCACCAAGAGAUGUUAAAGCAGAUGAAAUGGUGAGUCCAGUACAGUUUUAGCAGUUUUAGGUCAUUUUCAUUAUCAUGACCUUUCCUAUUUUUUAUGGCUAUGUCAGUACCGAUCCCGAACAAAACAAGAUGUAUUGAGGACAAUCAAGAGAAUGGUGGAGGAGAACAGGGUCAUCAGAGAGCGGUUACUCACCUUGAGGCAGCAGAGCCGAAGCAAA
rnacentral:lncRNA from 1 species